UAUCCACUUGAAAGAUACAAGCCAAUAUAGGAUAGUUUUCAGAUGCUUCUCUAAUUAGAAAAGACAGAAACAUAGGUGUCUGGGUGUUAGAAAACAGUUUUGGGGCUAUGCAGCAAUUAACUUGGGGGCUUUGAAGACUAUUAUCAAAACUGGCUGCAAAUAGGAGACAUUUGGGAUUGAACAUCCACCUUGAGCAUUCAGUCUUUGUGGAAACGCCCUUCAGGUGUACUGCAGUCAAAACACGUGCCUCUGUGGGAUGCCAGCAGGGAGAACAUCAUAUUGGAGAAAUACACAUUUGACUGUGGUCUGUGUUGGGAUCUGUCUGCCACACACUCCAUCUCCUGAGCAUGAAGUGCAUCACUUCUGCAUUAGAAGAUUCUCUGCAUUACUGCUGCAUGAGAAGACCGUCUUACAGAAGAAAGAGCAGAAGGAGAAAACCAGAAACUUUUUACUUCUUGGGCAACAUGCUUUUUGGUAUAGGGUAAGAUUUGGCUACUUCGUUUAAAUGACAGAAGCUUAACGACUAAACCAAAACAAUACAGAAGUAAGCAAGGACAACUAUGCUGCUGUCAGAAACAUGGGGUCAGAGGAUCAUUCACAACUGGUCAUACCGUGUUUGCAGUACAAGAAUAAAACACAGGAAGGGAACAAGCCACGAAGAGAUCCUUACUUUCCUCGAAAAGCCAAACAGCCCCCAGAAGUUAAGCUUUCCUUUGGAAUCAAAGCCCAG